rnacentral:RNase_P_RNA from 1 species
AAAGUCAACUAGACAGUCGCUGCUUUUUUAUUCUAAAAUUUUUUAAUAAAAAGGGAGAGGAAAGUCCGGGCUCCUAGGGUAAGGUGCCAGGUAAUACCUGGGAAGCGAGAGCUUACGACUAGUGCAACAGAAAAAAAACCGCUUUAAUAAUAUUGUUUGUAUAUCUGCUUAUUAAAGUAAGGGUGAAAAGGUGUGGUAAAAGCGCACCGCGUAAUUGGUAACAGUUUACGGCACUGUAAACUCCACCCGGAGCAAGGCCAAAUAGAGGUUUUAAAAAAGUAUAACCCGUACUAAACCUGGGUAGGCUGCUUGAACUAAUAAGCGAUUAUUAGUCUAGAUGAAUGAUUGUCCAUGACAGAACCCGGCUUACAAGUUGACUUUUACA